ACUCGAGUGGCGAACGGGUGAGUAACACGUGGGUGAUCUGCCCUGCACUUCGGGAUAAACUUGGGAAACUGGGUCUAAUACCGGAUAGGAGCCAUCUUUAGUGUGGUGGUUGGAAAGUUUUUCGGUGUAGGAUGAGCUCGCGGCCUAUCAGCUUGUUGGUGGGGUAAUGGCCUACCAAGGCGGCGACGGGUAGCCGGCCUGAGAGGGUGUACGGCCACAUUGGGACUGAGAUACGGCCCAG
rnacentral:rRNA from 1 species